rnacentral:lncRNA from 1 species
GAGCUUGGCAGAGAGCUCCGGGCAUGGCCAAAGCUCUAGGAACGUCCGCCACCCGAAGGGCUGCUGCCUCUGUGGUGUGGUGAGGCUGAUCCCAGAAGGCAGACGGAGAGAAGUGGUGGGCCAAGGAGGAACCCUGCAGACCAGCACCAGUGAAGGCUCAGGCAGAGGAGAGAGAGCCCACGAGGAGACAGGGCCCUAGGGACCCUGGGAAGUCCAGCCAAGCACAUCUGUGUUGCAGUCCCUGGGAUGAGCACAUUCAUUGAAGGCCAGAGGGAUCCCUGCUGUCGGAACCACAGCAAGUAUUUCACAAAUAAGUAGACGACAAAACAAAGACAGAACGCAAAGGUAUUUUCAAUGUGGAAUGUGCA